CUGAAGCAAAUUCUCAAGCUUCUCUGGAGCAGCUUUUGGUCACAUGAUCCUCUAUCAUGAGCCACAAAAGUCACUGGUUUCUGUGCUUUUCACCAACGUUCUUCCUGUAUGGUUGGACAAGAAGAAAGCAGAGAAAUGACAACAAGUGAGAUGUCUGUCCACACUAAAAAGCAUGAUUUUACUUAAAAUGUUCUAAGUGAGGUUGUCAAUGAAAAUCUGGAGUUUGAUGACUAUAGAAUGAAAAAACUACUGCAGCCUUGGCAAAUCAAGUGGCAUCCAGUUCCGAUAAAAUGGGCACAAGCUGAGGAAGAACUUUGGAGAAGGAAGACAAUACAUUCAGCUGUACACCUGUGAAGCCCACAGGACAUCCUGGGAUGCUCCAGAACUCCUACCACUCCCCAAAUCAUGGAGCACAGACAGUUACAAAACUACUGCAGGAGAAGUGCAACUGUCAGGAAUUAAGAAUGACACAUUCGCAUUUCCUGUAUAUGCAAGGGUCAGUCCAUUAAGAAACCACGUUAGAAUGUGGGCUGCAUUCCAGUAAUGCCUCAAGGUAAAACAUUCUCAUAUGAUGACCUGUGGAAUUUUCUUGGUCUUUUACACAAACAUCAGUAGAUAAACUGGGUUAUCUGGCAGGUUAUCCCAGAG